UCAGCAAGAAACUGAAUCCACCAAGCGAACUUUAGUUAAAAGAAACAAAGCUUUGCCUGAGCAGGUUUGGAUUGAAGCAGAAGAAAAAGCGUAAUGCAAACGAGCAAUAAAUACGAGGAAUCUGAGUAAAAUAGUCAGUUGGACACAAGUGUGAAGAGCCCCCUGAGAGAUUCAGAAGGUGGGCGCCGGCACCACCUACGCCCAGAGUGCCUGGCAGCCCAGGGAGUUCUCAGUCCCACCUUGGGGAGCAGGCCCAGAAUGCCCUGGAGAAAGGACUCAGCUUAGGGAGAGGCAUAACCACAUGGAGACAAGGGAAUGGCUCUGACUGACUGACAGGUUCAUAUGUAGACACUUACCUUAGACACCCAAGUUUAUUAAGUUAUUAGUAAUAAUAGGCAACUUAUUGUAUAAAACAAGAAUUUAGUCAUUUCUGUGUUCAAUGGGAAGAAAAGCUGGCAAGAGUAAACAUUGACUUUGUUUUGCUAGGUGGAUUGGUGACUCCAAGACCCCCAGAGCAUCAUAUCAAAUCAAUUAACAUUCUCAUCUCAAUUGACUCACUUGGCACAAAGAAACCUACAUGCUGUGAGAAGAAAGAAGAUGGGAGAAGAGUUCAGAAGGCGUGGAAAGAGACAGGUGGAAGAGGCACUGGACAGUUUACUAAAAAGUGAAUAUUUACACCAUUGAAUACCCCACUUCCUUAAAAAUCCAGAUUAUAAUUUUCUGAAGUUGGGAAUAAAAGUUGUUCCACAUCAAAUCAGGCUGUGGACUGUAGACAGAAUACUGAACCAAGAACCAAGGGACUUGAGUUCUAGUCCCAGCUCUACAACUAUCUAGCCGUGA